UAUCUUCCUCACAUAAUCUAUAAAAUUGGAACGAUACGAGAAGAUUAGUAUGACUCAUGCGCUAGGAUGACACGUACAAAUUGAGAAUUUUUCUAAAAAAUU
rfam:Spinacia oleracea cultivar SynViroflay scaffold96068.con0001.1, whole genome shotgun sequence.